GAAUAAUGUAAAUAGAGCACUCCUUGAUGAUUUGCCUCAAAACAGGAGCAUGCAAGAUAUUGAUUACUGUUCUUCAACCAGCUGUUGCGGAAGGCACUGAAACCACUGAGGACUGACUGGGCCUCAGGCCACUGCUGGAGUCAAUGCUGCCGCUCCCGCUGCUCAGGCCUCUGAAUGGCAUGGAGUCCAACCAUUCAUGUUUGAGGAUGUUCUAUUCCCUGUGUUCCUUCAGCAACUGUAUUUUUAGAACUUCUAAACUGUGUAAAACAUCAUUUAGCAGGAAGCACAAGUGAAGACAUGCAAAGGCAAGUUAAAUACCUAUGAUUUUUUUUUCCAUUUAUAUUGAUCUAAUACCAGACCACCUGACCUGCCUCUUGAGAAACCUGUAUUCAGGUCAGGAAGCAACAGUUAGAACUGGACAUGGAACAACAGACUGAUUCCAAAUUGGAAAAGGAGUACGUCAAGGCUGUAUAUUGUCACCCUGCUUACUUAGCUUCUAUGCAGAAUAUAUCAUGAGAAGUGCUGGGCUGGA
rnacentral:lncRNA from 1 species